rnacentral:rRNA from 1 species
GAUGAACGCUGGCGGCGUGCCUAAUACAUGCAAGUCGAGCGCCUGGACAGCGCGCUUCUUAGCCCAUUGUUUGAGACAGGGCCUCGCAAUUUACGAAGUAAAUUGCGAGAUCACAAACGAAGGGAUGAAGGAAUGAAGACCCGAGAAAUCGAGUCUCAAACCAUUAGCUAAGAAGAAGCGCGAUGUCCAGGAGCGGCGGACGGCUGAGUAACGCGUAGGAACGUACCCCAAACUGAGGAAUAAGCACCGGAAACGGUGUCUAAUACCGCA